rnacentral:rRNA from 1 species
GCUUGUCUCAAAGAUUAAGCCAUGCAUGUCUAAGUAUAAACAACUUUGUACUGUGAAACUGCGAAUGGCUCAUUAUAUCAGUUAUAGUCUACUCGAUAGUACCUUACUACUUGGAUAACCGUAGUAAUUCUAGAGCUAAUACAUGCGAAAAGUCCUGACUUCUUCGUGAGGGAGGGAUGUAUUUAUUAGAUACAAUCAAACGCACCAACAUAAAACCUUGGUGAUUCAUAAUAACUGUUCGGAUCGUAUGGCUUUUUGCCGACGACAGAUCAUUCAAAUUUCUGCCCUAUCAGCUUUCGACGGUACUGUAGUGGACUACCGUGGCAUUAACGGGUGACGGAGAAUUAGGGUUCGAUUCCGGAGAGGGAGCCUGAGAAAUGGCUACCACAUCCAAGGAAGGCAGCAGG